rnacentral:tRNA from 1 species
GGCUUGCUGGUCUAGUAGUAUGAUUCUCGCUUUGGGUGCGAGAGGUCAAGGGUUCGAUUCCCGUGCAAGCUC